rnacentral:sRNA from 1 species
GCGCACCCUUCUUUGUGCUCGGGUUAGGAGGAGCUAGGCUGCCAUCAGACCAGUGCACAUACGGGGUUGCUCUUUUGCUCAUAAGAGGGGCUUCGCUGGCAGUCUGAACGGCAAGCUUGAGUCAGGAUCCUUAAUUAAGAUCCUCAAUUGGCUGGAGGGCGGAUCUCGCGAGUAGGGUACAAGGCACUAUGAAAUGAUCUAGUUUCGUGGGUGAGGGGCUGAAGGGCCUAUGAUGCACGGAGGCGGGGAAAGGAUUUAGAGAUAACAUGGUUUGAAAGGCGGGACCUGGUGCGGGGACGCUUUUGGGAGGAGUCUUCUCCCCAGCCUUAGCUGGUUUCAUGAUUUCUUUGCGUCUGUAGGCGACGCGGUAGAAAUAUUGCUUCGGUGGGUGACGCGGUACAGCUGCCGAAGGGCGUUCGUUACGGGAAUGCCGAAGCGUGGGAAAAAGGGAGCGGUGGCAGAAGACGGGGAUGAACUCAAGACAGGGGUUUGUGAAGACGCAGUAACCGUAGGCUUUCGUUGGGUCUGUAAUUAACCCCGGAUCGUAGUUGGAAACCACCAGCUUUUU